GCACAAAUAUUGACGCGGCGAGAAGCCGCAGAACCUCGUGAAUCUGGAGAACGGCUGUCUUCCGGGAGAGACGAGAUUUCGCCGGUAGAAAGAGGGCUUUCCUUUUUCGUUUAUUGACGCACAAUACCGUUCUCGCGAUUCUAUUGGCAACACCCCCGAGACAAUGGAAUACUUCGCGUGGGAGGAAGUCGGUUGACGUUUGAAACUAGGUCGCGAUUUGUCAUCGGAAACGAUUUCUGACCAGUCGAGGGGUGCACGAGAAUUUUUCAACAAAGUUCUCGAUUUUAUUCGCUUCGACAGUGACUAAAAAAUUAGUUUUUCGCAUUCGGAGUGAUAAGAAAAAAUGGAAAACUUUUAAAAUUUCCAGUGACCGAAUUUCACAUCAUUCUAAUCUCGAACCAUGUCCAAAAAAGUUUAAUGAAAAUGUCAAAAGGAGUAAAAAGGUACUGCCUAAAUAAUCAAUCAAAUUAUAAUAGAUUUUAGAUAUUCCAUCAUAAAAUUUUUGAUAACAAAAUCCCACGGCGCCGAUAAAUUUAAUUAACAAGUGGCGAUCAAUUACCUGGCAACGGAGUCUUGAUUAAAAUAAAAAAUCAAAUUUUGAUAUGUUCUCUAAGAAAAACAAAACACAGUAAGAAUCAAUAUUAAACUUUGCAUGGUACGUCUUUUCACGGUACUUAUUGUUAGCUUCGAUAUUUGACUUCCCCAGACACAAAGAUACGCUUCGGACCAGUGCGAUUUUGUGUUGAAGUCUCGCGAUAAAGAAUAUCGGUCCCGGAAGUAUGUGCGAAUAGAUUUGUAGAAACAAUUUGUCGAACGAACGGCACGAGGAGUUGGUUCCAAAUUGUUCCGAGUAUUGCUGAAAGAAAUUUUUUCGCCGUUGCUGAUUCCCGAAUAGGUAGGCAGUCGUGAUUAUCAAUGAUUGCGAGUUUAGUUUGGGGGAUUUAGUUAGGAUCCUCUUUCGCCUUUUCCGAUUGUCCAUAUCGUCGCUGCCGCGCUUAUUCAUUACGUCUUCCCGCGGAAAUCGCGCGCGAGGAUGUCCGGGAGGACGUCGCUGAUGGAACAGAAGAAACUCCAGUGGGCGAGGGAAAGGGAGGAAAUGUCUCGUCUGGGUGUUAAUUGGGGAACUCUGAAAACUGAUAGUAAUCACAACCACAGUCAUAUUCGUACUUACUCGAACGAGGCCCGACUAUCCUUGGGGGAAAUAAGGGACAGGCCUUCGGUGCAACCCUUUCGUACGGCUCCCGGACAUUACGGGAGCACCGUCAGUGUGAAAAGUCUGGUAACGGAAAGUUCCGCGAAUGACAAAAGCAACCUCAAGUGCCUCGACUACAACGGCGGCAGUUUGAUUAAUCUUCAGGACCAGGUGGAGACUUCGCAAGUCAGACACAGAAGCCCCAGUCUGCCUCCGAUUUUCAACAAGGAGCAACAGCAGUAUUUCUGCCAGCUGGAACAGCAACAGCGUGACUUCGGCGUGGAGGGAUCGCGAUACCAGCCACAGAGAUCGCAAAAACUGGAGCACCGUCGCCAUCGAUCCAACGAGCGUCGCGAGAGCCAAAAAGAGGCUCGGCAUUACGGCUCGCUGGGCGAGGAGCGCGAAGGCGAGACUUCCGGUUACGCCAGCGACUCCGUCGAUGUACCGCAGCCGGGGCAAAGAGCUCUGCCUGACAAAGCAGCAAGCAGGAUGGAAAUGACGGAGAAAACGUGGCAAAAUCCUUACUGCACCACCCCGGAGAGUUCACUGCCACCGUCGAGAAGGCUCUCGCCGGGCAGAAUGGGCGAACUCAACAGGCCAAGGUGGGGCGGUGUCUGGGGUCAAGACGCAGCGAGAGGCGACCCACCGCCUCCCUCUUGGCUAUCAAGAUUAGGACAGUCGAGCCAAGUCCUGGUAAUCAAUCACGACAGCGCCAGCAGCCCGGACAGUCCAAGGACUGGCUCAACCGGCUCCGACAUCAAUAAAGUAUCUUAUCUGCGGGGUCAGAAUAUUCCAGUAGACGCGAAUAUUCUUCACGAACGGGAAACGAGACGGCAGAAAGCGCGGGAGCUUCAGAACGCCAUCAAGCAGCAGCUUGAGGAGAAGGACAGGCAGAGGAAAGAGGAGAAAGAGCAACGGAUGAGGGAGGAGAUGUUGGAAGAAGAACGAAUCCGGCGAGAGAGAGAAAAAGACAGAGAAAGAUUCGAGAGGGAGCAGCGGAUGACACGAGAGAAGGAGGAGGCGAAGCUGAGGCAGGCACAGGCGAUGCGCGAGGUGCUGGAAGCUGCGGAGCGGCUGGCAAUGGAAGAGCGGAAGAAUCGGCGGAAGCGAGAGGAGCACACCGACGAGGACACCGACGUAGUAACGCAAUCUUCCAAUAAAGCAAAUGCAACGGCGAACGCAACGGCGAACGUGAACGACAAACGCGAAGAACAGAAUUGCUCGCAGACGCAGAAGCAAAGCGCGAACUUGAUCGAUUAUCCCGAGGAAAAGUCCAGCCCAAAGGGCGUCAAGGAGGCCGACAAUUACCGAGAAAGCGAGACCGACAAGGAACCAAAAGGAGUUUCUUCACGGAUGAGUUACGCGGACAAGUCGGAAGAGGCCGCGCUGGAUCUGAACCCGAGGUCUCUUCAGGUUCCCGUGAGCAAAGACGUGGCGAUCGUGCUGAGCGGCCGGCUGGAGGACCCAGAGAUCCUGAGCAGGGCGAAUCUGCAACUGGUGAACCUAGUGAUGACGCCAAGCCCGCGCAGAUUCGACAGCGCGGAUUAUUUCUCGCUGGGGCUCAACACACUCAUGAGGAAUAACAGAAGUCCUAGGAACCCGACGAGGUCCUCAAGGGACACACCCUCGAUCGUCGUAGAGAACAGACUGUUGACGCCGAGCAAAUACAGAACGUCGGCCGGUCGGGACUUCGGCACGCAAACAGACGUGGAAUCCGACGUUCAGGAGCUGCGGGAGAAGCUGCAGGAUCAAUCGAUCAGAGACCAAGGUAUCACGAAGGACCGGAAGGACACGACGAACGCCAACCGAAGAAACGUUGACAAAUCGAAUAACGCGGGCUCCGGUGAAGAAAUCCCUAUGAAAACACUUCCGCGAUCCAAAUCGCAGCCCAGAACUACGCUCGAUAGCAGACCACGAUGGAACGCCAAUCGCCCAGGAACACGAUAUCGAACGCAAAGCGAAAAAGACCCGCACUAUCAGAGACGACUGCGAUUAAGAAGGCGACCGAUCGAGUCGAGCGACGAAGGGUCCAGGUCUCCGUCUCCCGACCGGCGGAAAUCAAAUAACGGAAAGUCAAAGAGUCGAAACACCAUCAGGCGUAAAGCGAAAGCCGAGAAUUACGACGCCGAUCUAUCGAUGGACAGUCUGAAUUCCGUUGUGCCUCUGCGGAUCGACAAAGACGGGAAGAUUAACAUAGAGGAACGUGCCGAUAAAUUACGGUCGCAAAACGAUGCGAGUCACGCGAUACGACCCGAUGACGAUAGCUCUAACGUCUGGCGCGGACAAGAAAUUUUGUCCAGACUGUCGUCAUUGAGAAGCGGACUGCUGAUGAAGCAGAUCGAGUGGGAUUCCGAGCGAUGUCUGGUCUCACCCGCUGCAUCCGAAAUCUUUUAAGCGCCUGCGGAAUUUCCUUGCCGUCAGACCAUCCUUUUGUUUUUCUUUUCGUUUACGUAGAAAAUUUAGAUAAUGGCCUUCCAAUUGGACGAUCUACUGAGGGACGACAAGAAAGACGCGAACUUGAUACCCGAUUUGAGU